rnacentral:rRNA from 1 species
UGGGGAAUAUUGCACAAUGGAGGGAACUCUGAUGCAGCGACGCCGCGUGAACGAAGAAGGCUUUCGAGUCGUAAAGUUCUUUUAUAUGGGAAGAUAAUGACGGUACCAUAAGAAAAAGCCCCGGCUAACUACGUGCCAGCAGCCGCGGUAAUACGUAGGGGGCUAGCGUUGUCCGGAAUCACUGGGCGUAAAGGGUUCGCAGGCGGAAAUGCAAGUCAGGUGUAAAAGGCAGUAGCUUAACUACUGUAAGCAUUUGAAACUGCAUAUCUUGAGAAGAGUAGGGGUAAGUGGAAUUUUUGGUGUAGCGGUGAAAUGCGUAGAUAUUAAAAAGAAUACCGGUGGCGAAGGCGACUUACUGGGCUCAUUCUGACGCUGAGGAACGAAAGCGUGGGUAGCAAACAGG